AUGCGCAUUCCCCAAUUCCCAAUCCUAUCGCCACAACACGACGCGACGCACACUUCUCCACUCUCUGGAACUCUCGCCAUGCUUCCGGCUCUCGCCGCCGCCUCGCCGACGCUGCGAACCUCUCGCCCGGUCUCCCGCCUCCGGCGCAACCACCGACACCAUCACGGUGUUCAUCUUCACCUCCACCACCGCUUCCCUUCCUUAGCCGCCGACGGCGGGGGUCGCGGUCGCUUUCUCCUGGUCGGCACAUGCGCCGCUUCUGAUGGUAGCGCAGGACAGGAUGUUGGUAGUCCCGAGAGCAUGGCAAAUUCAGGAUCUGCAUAUGUUGGUCUCUUUGUCCGAAUGCUUGGCUUGGAUAAUGACGCUCAUGAUAGGGAACAUGCUAUUUGCACACUCUGGCAUUACUCCCUUGGUGGACAGAAGUGCAUCGAUGAGAUAAUGCAGUUCCCAGGUUGCAUCAGCCUCAUCAUCAGCCUCCUAAAGUCAGAGUCUGCUCGUGCUUGUGAAGCAGCGGCAGGCCUUCUGCAUAAUAUAACUUCAGUGAAGUUAUACAGGGAUGUGGCAAUUGAGAGUGGAGCAAUGGAAGAAAUCUUUAGCUGUAUCCGUAAAUCCACGAUAACCCCAGAGAUAAAGGAGCAGUGUUUGUGUACCAUUUGGAACUUCUCUGUUGAUGAAAAAUUGAGAUACAAGCUUUUGGGGAGUGAUAUGCUAAUACCAAUAGUUAGGUUCCUAGAUGAUGAAGACAUAAAAGUGAAAGAAGUUGCUGCUAGUAUCACAUCAUAUUUAACUUUAAGUCAUUCUUAUCAUGGAGCUCUGGUCGAAGCUGGUGUAAUUCCAAAACUGGUUCAUCUUCUACAAACCAAAGACAAUGAUUAUAAAAUUAUCAGAAAGGAAGCUAGAAGUUCGCUCGUGGAACUAUCCACGGAUGAUAGUUACCAUGCCCUUAUAGUGGAUCAGGGUCUAGUCCGGAUUCCUCUGGUUGGCUCAUCCGCUUAUAAAGCCUUCAGACCUCAACCUCAUUCAUGGCCCUCUUUUCCUGAUGGCUCGGAAAUUCAACGGAGUUCUCGGCCUUCAAAAUAUGGUGCAACUGAAUUGCUUCUUGGCCUGAUUCUAAAUGAGAAGAAAGCAGAACCAGAUGAAGCUAAAAUUAAUGCUAUGAUAGGGCGUUCUAAUCAGCAAUUUCUUGCACGCGUUGGAGCUAUUGAGUUUGAUUAUGAAGGGAAAGAACAAUCUGGAUCUCAAAGGAAUGAUCACCACACCAUCUUACCUUGGAUAGAUGGUGUUGCACGGCUAGUUUUAAUAAUUGGUCUCCAAGAUGUCUCUGCAAUUGCAAAGGCUGCUCAUGCAAUCGGUGAUGCAUCAGUAAAUGAACACAUGCGCACUUCAUUCAUGGAAGCUGGGGCUGUGAAAUCUUUACUUCAGUUGCUGAUGCAUAAUGAUGUACCUGUCAGAGAAGCGAGUGCUUAUGCAUUGGAAAAACUAAGUGGCAGUUCCAAAGUUUGUGAGAAGAUCAGAGUAGAAGAUGGUCGAGAGCUGCUUGUAAAUGUACUGAAGGAUUCAGAUACCCCAGUAGAACAAUUGGAGAAGACAAUCCAUGUACUUUCUCGAAUACUUGAUAUGGAGCCUAAUUACUAUGCUAGUACUGGGUCUGAGGAUAUAGUGGACGAUGAGAAGUGCAGUCAAGGUAAUGUAGAUGGUGAGCUCAAUGGAAUGUCCCAAAAUUUAUUGAAACAAGACGAGUUGGAUAGUUGUAGCGAUUCAAUCUUUGACUUUGAUGUCAUCUCACGCUUAAUCAAAGUUCUCAAGGAAUCAUCUCCAAGCCUGCAAGAAAAAUGUGCUACUCUCCUGGAGCAUUUAGCAGCUUGUGAGCAACAUGGCACUGCAAUGACUGCUGCCCGAUCUGAGUCAGUAAUUGAAGCUGUUCUAGAAAUGGGGGUUAUUCAUGGGACAACAUGCAAUCCCGAGAAUCUUGAUGAGCCUCCUACUAUUAUGGUUGAAGUCAGCCAGGCCGUCGGUGCAACUGUGAGGUUACUCACUAAGUUAUUGAACUUCGAUAUUUUUGCUCGCAGCAUAAAUAGUGUGAGAAUUGUUGCUCUGUUAAGAAGAAUGCUCCAGUCCAGUGUUCCCCUACAGUCAAAGGAUUGGGUCACAGCAUGCCUCAUUAAGCUAGAAUCAAGGGGCUUGGUUGAUCGGAGUGUUGGUGAUAUAGGCAUGGAGAUAACCAUAUACCAUACUAUUCCCAGGCUAGUUGAGCAGAUGAUGACUUCAUUUUCUUCUGAAAAGAAAAGAAAAGCUGUAAUAGAGCUGAACAGGAUAAUAUCUGGAGGUGUGAUGGAAUACACAACAGCAGUUGCCACAGCUGGAGGCAUAUUUCCGCUGGUAAAGAUGAUUGAAGAGGGUGAAGGAGAUGUACUGGAAGCUAGUCUAGCUGUCUUGUAUAACCUAAGCUUGGAUCCAGAGAAUCACCCGCCAAUAAUUGCUGCUGGAGCAGUGCCUCUUUUGAAGCGAAUUGUCCAUGUGGAAAGCCCACACUGGAAUCGUGCUCUUCAGUUGCUUAGAACGUUGCCCGUAUAA
rnacentral:rRNA from 1 species